CGGGGAUGUAGCUCAGAUGGU
rnacentral:siRNA from 1 species